UACGUAGGGGGCUAGCGUUGUCCGGAAUCAUUGGGCGUAAAGAGCGUGUAGGCGGUCCGGUAAGUCCGCUGUGAAAGUCGGGGGCUCAACCCUCGAAUGCCGGUGGAUACUGUCGGGCUAGAGUACGGAAGAGGCGAGUGGAAUUCCUGGUGUAGCGGUGAAAUGCGCAGAUAUCAGGAGGAACACCGGUGGCGAAGGCGGUGGUCUGGGCCGGCACUGACGCUGAGGAGCGAAAGCGUGGGUAGCAAACAGGG
rnacentral:rRNA from 1 species